AGGAGAGUAAAUUAUUCAUUGCAUUAUGUGAGAUGACCUGGCUUGUCAAUCAUGUAAGGCACAAUGAUGAGUCCUGUCUGAGGUGUUUUGCUUCCUUCUACCUACUCAUUUUUCAGAUCUGCUAACUUCAAUACAGUGUUAUGAGUGGGGUGCAGCAGCAGCAUUGGGCACAAAGUAGGAACAAGACUACUGACUUUCAUAAUGUUUUGGGGUAAAUCCACAUGGACAAAAAAAGAAAAUGUGCAGGGUCUUCAUAGAGAGUCACCAAGGCAGCUAAAAUAGCAGCUGAGAGCAACACAAACCAAAAGGACAGGUGCCUCCUCAUCAAAACCCAGAUUAAUAAAAUUAAGCCCAUACGAUUAAACUUUUAUUUUGGGAAUGAAUCACCUUUAUCAGAGCUCGACCCUAUUCUAGUAGUAUCAGGUGCACAGCACAAAUCAGCCCCAUAUGGGAUGUCAAUCUAUUGUAGGGCUCAGAAUAUCUCAGUUGCAAAAGGCAUAAGGCACAAACUGUCUCUUAAUGAGGUGCCAGUCUAUUGGAGGUGUAAUACAAUAAGUUUGACUCAGACACAUCAAAAGCAGUUGAGGAAAUUGCCACGUAUGAUGUCUGUCGAACUUGAUGAAAGUUGAAUUAGAACGGAUCAAAAAACCAAAGCAUUUGACAACAUACAGUACUGAGAUGGAAAUAUUUAUACAGAAAAUGGCGACAGGAUGUGAUAUGGCAGGAAAUGACAUGAAAACUGUAGGCCAGAAGUGAUGUCAUCGUGGCAUAACCGGAAGUGGCGUCAUUGAGCAGGAGCCAGAAGUGAUGUCAUCUUUUGAAGCCAGAAACAGGAUUGAUGUGGAGUGGCCAUUUUGAGAAUCUGGAAGUGGUGGAGCAUCAGCAUCAACAACUUUGUGAAAUACAUGAACCCCUGCUGUGUUUUGACAUUAAAAAUACAGAGUCACUUGCAUUUUCAGGCCUAGAUGCCUAUAUACCUCCACCCCUCUGCAGCAUUGUAAAGGAAAGGAAGCAAGGCUAAUUGAUGGGUCAACGUGGGGUUUGAGUCAUAGACUGUGAAGAACACCUCGAGGGGAGAGUAAAAUGCCUGGAAAUGAGGGAAUACAUUUGCCAUACAGUGAGCUCCCAUCACACAGAGAUUUGCAGUCAGCUAAAGACAAAAUGUUCACCAGCCUUCUACAGUCCUGUCUUUGGCUUUUUCUUGCUAUAGAAAAAUACCUUUGUAAAGCGACCGUGGGAAUGUAAAGUCGACAAUAGGUCAAAG